GGGGCUAUUUGUUGUUCGCUGUUCGCGGGAAUGGUUUAAGGCAAAGAGAAAACGGGCAAUUAUAAAAAUGUGUGGGAGAAAAAUUAGGAUUAAAAAAAUUUUUUUGAAGAAUUAAAUUUUUCAAAAAAAAUAAAGCUUAUAAUAAUAAACUUUAAUCUUUUUUUAAAUUUAAAGUUUAUUAUUAUAAGCUUUAUUUUUUUAAAAAAUUUAAUGUUAUUAUUAUUUUAAGCUUUAUUAUCAGAUAUUUUAAAUCAGCUUUAUUCUAAAUCUGAUAAUAAUCAUAAGCUUUAUAAUCCUAAUUUUUCUCCAGCUGCAAUAUUUAUUUGGCUCCAGACAAUUGUCAGGAAUUGCCAUUGAUAACUUUUGUGAAAGUGCCGCUGAUAAAUUGUAAAUAAUUUAGAUAUCUUUUGCAAAGGAAAUUAAAUAUAUAAUAAGCUGUCAUUAAUUUUUUAAUUUCAGAUUAUUUUCGAGAUUUUAUUCUAAAAUUAUCAAUAUAAUCAAUAUUAAUGACAGCUUAAUUACCCGCAGACUGGGUAAUUCCAGCUCUGCUAACUACCUAAAUAAAAGAUAUCUGGUUGAUCCUGCCUGAACUGAUGUGUUCAUUUCAAAGAUUAAGCCAUGCAUGUAUAAGUUUAAUCGUUUUAACGAGAAACCGCGAACGGCUCAUUACAAUGGCCAUGAUUUACUUGAUCUUGAUUAUCUAAAUGGAUAACUGUGGAAAAGCUAGAGCUAAUACAUGCACCAGAGCUUUGUCCUCUCGGAAAAGCGCAUUUAUUAGAACAAAACCACGCGGCUUCGGCUGCUUCUUGUUGACUCAGAAUAACUAAGCUGACCGCAUGGCCUUGUGCCGGCGGCGUGUCUUUCAAGCGUCCACUUUAUCAACUUGACGGGAGCAUAAUCGACUCCCGUGGUGGUGACGGAUAACGGAGGAUCAGGGUUCGACUCCGGAGAAGGGGCCUGAGAAAUGGCCACUACGUCUAAGGAUGGCAGCAGGCGCGCAAAUUACCCACUCUCGGCUCGAGGAGGUAGUGACGAGAAAUAACGAGACUGUUCUCUUUGAGGCCGGUCAUCGGAAUGGGUACAAUUUAAACCCUUUAACGAGUAUCAAGCAGAGGGCAAGUCUGGUGCCAGCAGCCGCGGUAAUUCCAGCUCUGCUAAUACAUAGAAUUAUUGCUGCGGUUAAAAAGCUCGUAGUUGGAUUCGUAUCGGUACCUUGGAACCCUUCGGGUGUUUCUGGGUGUUAUCGAUUUAUCGUAAUGUUCGGUUUUGAGUCCUUAACAGGAUUUUUAACAGUCAUUGCAAGUUUACUUUGAACAAAUCAGAGUGCUUCAAACAGGCGUUUUCGCUUGAAUGAUUGUGCAUGGAAUAAUAGAAAACGAUUUCGGUUCAGUUUUAUUGGUUUUACGGACUGAGAUAAUGGUUAACAGAGAACUUUGGCGUUGAACUGACUGAGAUAAUGGUUAACAGAGAACUGAGAUAAUGGUUAUCUCUGACUGAGAUAAUGGUUAACAGAGAACUUUGGCGUUGAAUACGAGUUCCAAGUGGGCCAUUUUUGGUAAGCAGAACUGGCGAUGUGGGAUGAACCAAACGCGGAGUUGAGGUGCCAAAGUGCCCGCUCAUUAGACACCAUAAAAGGUGUUGGUUGAUACAGACAGCAGGACGGUGGCCAUGGAAGUCGGAAUCCGCUAAGGAGUGUGUAACAACUCACCUGCCGAAUCAACUAGCCCUGAAAAUGGAUGGCGCUGGAGCGGGCCACCUAUACUCUGCCGUCAUAUGCUUGUAUUUUCCGUGAAAAGUCUUGCAAUGACGUGUAAGAGGGUCGUAGUGGUUGCAAUGAAGGCUUUGGGUGUGCACCCAGCUGGAGCUUCCACUAGUGCAGAUCUUGGUGGUAGUAGCAAAUAUUCAAGUGAGAUCCUUGAAGACUGAAGUGGAGAAGGGUUCCACGUGAACAGUAGUUGAAUGUGGGUCAGUCGAUCCUAAGGCACCGGCUAAAGCCGUCUAGACACUGCGGGGAGAUGAGAUACUUAACGGUAUAUUGUCUACUCGGUUGCCGAAAGGGAAGUGGGUUAAUAUUCCCACACCAGGCAUGGGAGAUGGUGAUCCGCAAGGAUUACUUUGCGCGGUGACGCAAACGAACUCGUAGACCUCGUGUGGAGUCCGGGCCAGAGUUCUCUUUUCUGGUUUAGAGAUCAUGUCCCUGGAAGUGGCUCAGCCUGAGAUAGGGAUGCUGGUCUCGUAAAGCGCAGCGGUUCCUGUUGUGUCCCGUGUGCUCCACAUGAGCCGUGAAAAUACGAGGGAGGCAAUUUAAAAUCUCCAGCCUGAUCGUACCCAUAUCCGCAGCAGGUCUCCAAGGUGAACAGCCUCUAGUCGAUAGAAUAAUGUAGGUAAGGGAAGUCGGCAAAUUAGAUUCGUAACUUCGGGAAAAGAAUUGGCUCUAAAGGUUGGGUCAGUCGGGCUGUUGUGUGAAACAGGUGGACUUUGCUCGUGGCUGCUUGAUCUU